GCAAAACACUGACGUUCCGUGGGGCUGCACCUGGACAGCAAGACGAGGAGGACAAUUGAUGACUAAUGGCAUGAAUGCCAACAAUUGGACGCACACAUGGAUGGAUAAGCAGAUUGACCCUGUGACGAGCACAGGUGGGACAUGUCCUUUUGCCCUCUGACCAGAAUGAGCAACUGUGGUCAGUGAUCAGCAGUUAACACCUGGAGGCAGCGAAAAUAAGUGGGCUCGCAGUAAUCCCUUACAUCAACUGUUUUCUUCCAUCCGUUGGCAACAGAGAGUCAUUCUGACAUGGUAAAUGUUGAAUGACACGUGUGACGAUGUAAUGUCGGACCUUCCACUCACUCACGCGGAGCCAGCAGGAGGAGACACCGAGGAGGACGAGGAGCAGCGGGUACAAACAUUUGCUCACAUUUACUGAACAACGGACGGGUGCUGACGCCCGACUGUCCCAAGGCCGUUGACGCCAAAAAAGCUCCAAAAACCUCUCAAGUGCCUUAAUUCCAGUAACAACAGACAAAGAAAAAAAAACACUCUUCACAUCAAUCGCAACAACCACCAUCUACCCACAAAGGAACAGGAGUCACACCCACAACAUCAGGUCACCUCCAGGGGGGCGAGAGCGCACCGACAGAGGAGCAGAAAGGUCAGGACUUGCCGAGGCUCGACAACUUCUCCCUGAAGUCUGUGGAAACCAGAGGCAGACUGUUUUUAUUUUUACUAUUUUUUUUUAAUCAUGGGAAUCGACUCCAAUGACAGGGAAGGAAACGAAAUAAUAUCAUGAAUCAUGAUUUAUGAUAAAGACGAAGACCAGAAAACUGUAAACUUGAAACUCAAACUGUGUUUUUUUUUUCCCUUUGGGAUCGCUGUGAAUUAGCAAAAACAAAAAACACUGUACCACAAUCAAGAUUGUUUGGAAACGGAACAGUAUUUGCUACACGAACAGCGUUCAAGAGACAACAAUCUUACUAGAUAUCAACAAGUGGCAGCACGGGCGAGAGCUGUUGCCAAGCACUGUGAAGAUAUGAGGAAAAAUAUUUGUAUUCAUGAAUUAAAAGUAAAAAAAAAAAGAAUCUAUACUGUGAAAAUACUAAAUAUGUAUAUUCCAUGACAAACUAAAUAACUCUAGCUGUACAUAGGAGACAACUGUAUAACAUGCUUGCUUUUUAAAAGCUGUACAUAACAAAUACUUUUUUUGUUUUGUAACAAAUACUUUUUUUGCUUUGUUUGUUGUUCACUAGCAGAAAAUGUAAUAUAUUACCCAUAACUUUGUUUGUAUUACUCUAAUAUCACUUUAAAAUUAAAUACAAAAUGUUUGGUUUUUGUA